rnacentral:rRNA from 1 species
UGCCCAAGAGAUCGGGAUAACACCUGGAAACAGAUGCUAAUACCGGAUAACAACAGAUGAUGCCUAUCAACUGUUUAAAAGAUGGUUCUGCUAUCACUCUUGGAUGGACCUGCGGUGCAUUAGCUAGUUGGUAGGGUAACGGCAUACCAAGGCGAUGAUGCAUAGCCGAGUUGAGAGACUGAUCGGCCACAUUGGGACUGAGACACGGCCCAAACUCCUACGGGAGGCAGCAGAC